rnacentral:rRNA from 1 species
GACGAACGCUGGCGGCGUGCCUAAUACAUGCAAGUUGAGCGCUGAAGGUUGGUACUUGUACCAACUGGAUGAGCAGCGAACGGGUGAGUAACGCGUGGGGAAUCUGCCUUUGAGCGGGGGACAACAUUUGGAAACGAAUGCUAAUACCGCAUAAAAACUUUAAACACAAGUUUUAAGUUUGAAAGAUGCAAUUGCAUCACUCAAAGAUGAUCCCGCGUUGUAUUAGCUAGUUGGUGAGGUAAAGGCUCACCAAGGCGAUGAUACAUAGCCGACCUGAGAGGGUGAUCGGCCACAUUGGGACUGAGACACGGCCCAAACUCCUACGGGAGGCAGCAGUAGGGAAUCUUCGGCAAUGGACGAGAGUCUGACCGAGCAACGCCGCGUGAGUGAAGAAGGUUUUCGGAUCGUAAAACUCUGUUGGUAGAGAAGAACGUUGGUGAGAGUGGAAAGCUCAUCAAGUGACGGUAACUACCCAGAAAGGGACGGCUAACUACGU